rnacentral:rRNA from 1 species
CGGAGGAAAAGAAACUAACAAGGAUUCCCCUAGUAACGGCGAGUGAACCGGGAUGAGCUCAAAUUUGUAAUCUGGCGUGCUCCGCGCGUCCGAGUUGUAAUCUAUAGAAGCGUUUUCCGUGCCGGACCGUGUCCAAGUCCCUUGGAACAGGGUAUCAAAGAGGGUGACAAUCCCGUACUUGACACGACGACCGGUGCUCUGUGAUACGUUUUCUACGAGUCGAGUUGUUUGGGAAUGCAGCUCAAAACGGGUGGUAAAUUCCAUCUAAGGCUAAAUAUUGGCGAGAGACCGAUAGCGAACAAGUACCGUGAGGGAAAGAUGAAAAGCACUUUGGAAAGAGAGUUAAACAGUACGUGAAAUUGUUGAAAGGGAAACGAUUGAAGUCAGUCGUGUCCAAGGGAUUCAGCCGGUUCUUCCGGUCUACUUCUCUUGGACGGGUCAACAUCAGUUUUGGCCGGUGGAUAAAGGCUGGAGGAAUGUGGCACCCUCGGGUGUGUUAUAGCCUCCUGUCACAUACAUCGGCCGAGACUGAGGAAUGCAGCUCGCCUCACGGCCGGGGUUCGCCCACGUACGAGCUUAGGAUGUUGACAUAAUGGCUUUAAACGACCCGU